CCCCCUACUCCUACGGGAGGCAGCAGUGGGGAAUAUUGCACAAUGGGCGGAAGCCUGAUGCAGCGACGCCGCGUGAGGGAUGACGGCCUUCGGGUUGUAAACCUCUUUCAGUAGGGAAGAAGCGAAAGUGACGGUACCUGCAGAAGAAGCGCCGGCUAACUACGUGCCAGCAGCCGCGGUAAUACGUAGGGCGCAAGCGUUAUCCGGAAUUAUUGGGCGUAAAGAGCUCGUAGGCGGUUUGUCGCGUCUGCCGUGAAAGUCCGGGGCUCAACUCCGGAUCUGCGGUGGGUACGGGCAGACUAGAGUGAUGUAGGGGAGACUGGAAUUCCUGGUGUAGCGGUGAAAUGCGCAGAUAUCAGGAGGAACACCGAUGGCGAAGGCAGGUCUCUGGGCAUUAACUGACGCUGAGGAGCGAAAGCAUGGGGAGCGAACAGGAUUAGAUACCCUGGUAGUCCAUGCCGUAAACGUUGGGCACUAGGUGUGGGGGACAUUCCACGUUUUCCGCGCCGUAGCUAACGCAUUAAGUGCCCCGCCUGGGGAGUACGGCCGCAAGGCUAAAACUCAAAGGGAUUGACGGGGGCCCGCACAAGCGGCGGAGCAUGCGGAUUAAGUCGAUGCAACGCGAAGAACCUUACCAAGGCUUGACAUGAACCGGUAAGACCUGAAAACAUCCCCCC
rnacentral:rRNA from 1 species